GUCAACCACUGCACCUAGCCUCUAAAUCCAUAUAAAUCAAUUAUUCACGCACUGAGCAGAAUAUUCAGGAUUUUUUUUCUUAUAAUAUAAAUGAUGUGGAAAACUGGAGAACCAAAGAAGAACACCAAGACUAUCUAAAAGUGUUAAAUUUUUCAUUAGAAAGAAAAUGACUUCAUGACAGUUCUUAAGACAAUGAUAGAACUUGGGGAAAUAUGUAUUCCUUGAUGUUUCUAUGCAUUUGCAAUAAUAAACAAUGAAAAUAUGGUUAAAUUUUAGAAAGAGAUAGGCCUGUGGUAUUGUCACAAGGGUAUACAAAUACUCAGAAUGACUGCUGAGGCAGUGCUCUCCAUUGGUGGUGACCUUCAGAAGAGACCUGUGUUUCCACAUGGCCUAGACACCUGGAAGGCAGAGAUCCUAACAUUCCAUGACACCCCCACCUUCUAAUUCUGUUAUUGUGACUCCAGACCAUUACCUGGCACCGGGUCUGAUUUCUGGCAUUCCUAUCAGAGCCUGAGUCACAGACAGUACCUUAGACUCUAAGCUUAGGCACCUUGUGCCUUGUUUUUGUGGCUAAGGAUUCUCAGAGUUGUAGGAUGCUGACAAAGUUUAUCCCAAAGGUAAUUUAUGAAUCAGAUCUGCUUUCUUUUGACUUGUUUAAACCCUUCAUUUAAUGUAAAGAAACUUUAUUGAGGUAUAAUUUACAUACUAUAAAAUUUACCCAUUAUAAUUGUACAGUUCAAUAAUUUUUAGUAAUUUACCCAAGUAGUGCAACCAUUACCACAAUCCAUGCAUUUGUUUUUAAUUUAUUAAUUGUCUGGGUUUAUUCUCCCUAGGCUCUGAUUGUACUUUCUCCACAAGCUUCAGCAUGGCAGUAUCUCUCACCACUUGUUUUGGUCCAAGGGCAGAAAUGAGCAUCCUGGAAACCAAUCAGUACUUGCUCUCUGAACUGGAAAAGUGCAAAGAGAACUUCCGAGACCUCACAGAGAAAUUCCUGACAUCCAAAGCUACUGCCUACUCCCUGGCCAAUCACCUGCAGAAAUAUAGAUACAUGAUCCCUUAAUUCAGGCUCAGGCUGAAGAACUGACCCACUUACGACAGAAGAUACAAGAAGGGAGAGGUGUCUGCUACCUUUUCACCCAGCAUGUGAAGAACACAGUCAAGUCUUUUGAGGGCCUUCUCAGGAACACUGGCAUUGCCUACUACCAGAGACAGAGAUUCUGUGAGCAAAUGGUACAAGGAAGCCAGCUAACAGAGAUCCUUGUCAGAAAACUUGCCACAGAAUCAACCCCAAUGCUCACUAACAAACUGAGAAGAAAAAAAAAGAAUUACCCCCAACAACAUCUGAGGAAGUAGAACAGGGACAGACUUGAAGGCACCUGGGCAGUCCUCUGGUUUUGGAGUAGAGAAAAUCACAAUGGUAAGAAAAUGAAGACAGGCAAAAGCCACUGGCUCCCAGGAUGCACCUCUAACCUCUACAGGCAAAUCAUAGAUUCCAUUGUCCAGCUGUAAAAUGAAAACAGAGUUCUCAGAGAAGAAUACCGGAGACUCCCCCGACUUGCCUGAAUCAAAUUUCCAGAGGUAAGUGGUGAAAGGCUACAAUAUGAAGUCACUCUCAGAUGGGUCCCUUCUCUUGCCACACUCCACUGUAGAAAUAAAAGAGGACGGGGAGGCCAGAGCUGCUCAAAACCUUAUAACCCACAAUUCUCAUAGUCAUUCUCAACUUAGAGAGGGCUGCUUUCUAGACACACCCCCUCCAGGCCCCCAGACUGCCAGGCUCCAGGAAUAAGUAGCUCUAAGAAAUACAGUAUUUCGAUGCGAGCCACACCCCACUAUUGCAAAUUGGAGAAGAGAAGGACAAACUUAAAAGGUGAAAAGAUUUAACAGAACAACAGGGUGAAACCCCAUCUCUAAUAAAAAUACAAAACUUAGCUGGGCGUGGUGGCAUGCACCUGUAGUCCCAGCUACUCAGGAGGCUGAGGCAGGAGAAUCAUUUCAACCCAGGAGGCAGACGUUGCAGCGAGCCAAGUUUGCACCACUGCAUUCUAGCCUGAGUGACAGAGCAUGACUCCAUCUCAAAAAAAAAAGAAAAAAAGAAAGACAGAAAAGAUUUAAGAGAACAAUUAUUUUAAUUGAAUACAUUUUGUCAAGAUUAAAUCAACUUUCCCCUAGAAUACUGAAAGAAUAAGCAAUCAUAAUUUAGAUUCUAAGUUACUGGCCUUUGAGAAAGUGUGAAAUCCAAAAAGAUGCCAUGAGCCAAAAAAGAGCAAAAGUCCUAAUUUUCAAACUGAUGAAAAUAAAGUACUAAAUAAUUGAAAUCAUCGUAGUUCAUCUUGGUCCUUGGCAAAAUAAAAAUUUAUUGAUUGAAAUUAUAAUAUCCUAGCUACCUUUUUGUGCCUAGCUCUUACCACUGAGGAGAAAAACCAAACACAAACAAAAGUAUGUUCAAAUUGGCAAAAAUGUUUACAAACCUGCAAAAUCUCUUCAGCCUAUCCCUUAAACUGCAGACUUGGUAUUUACUAAGCUCUGCUGUGUACAAUACCCACCUUAAUAUCCAUUCUUGCACAAGUUCUGUUAGGUAUAAGCCAAAAUCACAUGGGAUUUUUUUUUUUACCCUCUCAUGCCUAUGUUUGCUUUUGCUUCCAAAGACCCUUCUGAGUAAGGACUGUCCUCAGACUACUGGAGUCACUUAGUCACAAGCUUGCCUGAGGCUCAGAGCUGGCAAUACCUGGCAGUUUAUGUCAAUCCCACAUGCAACCCUGCCUGCAAAGUAUUUACCCAUGAUUGACAGGUGCAGGUGUAUGAAAGCCCAGCUCCUUGACUUGAGGGGUGCGUUUGUGGUGAAUUAGCUUUGGGAAAAGGGAAUCCAGAGGCCAACUUUGUAAAAAUCCAGAUAGGUAAAUGGAGAGAAAUCUUUGCCUUGGAAGUCCAAUUGAGAAAGAUAGUGAUUUACUUCGGACUGUGAAAGGAGAGACUAAAAUCUUUACUUUCUCAUGGGAAAGAAGCCUAUGGUGAAAGAGAAACAAAGAAAAUGGUGGGAAAUAGGGUAGGUCUACUCAGUAGCUUUAAACCAUUCUGUCAUAUUAUAAAGCCUGGUAAGGUUUUAACUAACACAAGUGCCUGGACUCUACACAUAGAUAUUCUGAUUUAAAUGCUUCCAGGUGGGUGGAAGACACCAGUAGUCUUAAAAAGCUCCCAAGUAAUUUUAACAUGUAGCUAAAGAUGAAAAGGACAAUCUAUCUACUAGAAUGUCAAGUCGUCAGCAUAGGAGUGUCCCAAAUGUGCAGCUACCUCAUAGAAAAGGCUUAACCCCACCCAUUGAUGGAAUUCGCCUUCCUCUCUCCAUGGUCUUGUUUGCAUAGCAUGGAAAAAAAGAGAAGAGAAAAAGAGGUAGAUGGAUAGAUUGAACCUAUAAUUUGCCAAUGUGGAGCAGUUUCUCAAACUUUUCUGACCACAAGAUGCAGUGAGAAAUACACAAUUUUUUGUGAUCAGUUUUUAAAAAAUAUUUUAUUAUGUGUAAUCCACCCUUCCUGGUAUUUAAAUAAAGCCUGUAGUAGUAAGCAGUCCACUAUAUUGAUUUCACAACCCAUAAGUUGUUCAGAAUUGCAAUUAGAAAAUUUUUAAUUUUGGCCAGGCGUGGUGGCUCGCACCUGUAAUCCCAGCACCUUGGGAGGAUCACCUGAGGUCGGGAGUUUGAGACCAGCCGGACCAACAUGGAGGAACCCUG
rnacentral:lncRNA from 10 species